AGUGGCGGCGCGGCGGGGACCGAGAGCUGCGGGCGGGCUGGAGGUACCCCACCGCGGGGUGGUGCUCUGACUGCGGGAACCGUUGAAGAGCUGCCCCCGGGGAGUCAGCGAGGCGCCACUGGUCUCUUAGACAUCUUCUCAAGAUUAUGCUAAGAGAAAUGACUGCACCCUUUUCCUGAGCUAUGGCAGUCAGACCUGGCAGUGGUAACUACUCUACAGAACUCCCAAACCUGGCAAGGAUGGUGCAGAUUUUGGCAGAUUAUGGCUUUGUCCCCACCCAGCACUGAUGAUAUUAUAAACAGACCUAUACUACAAGAAAUGAUAAUGGAAGUUCUUCAACUGAGCAAGAAAUGAUAUUAACAGAAAACUUGGAUCUUCAGAAGCAAAUGAAGAACAUCAGAAAUG
rnacentral:lncRNA from 1 species